UACGUAUGGUGCAAGCGUUAUCCGGAUUUACUGGGUGUAAAGGGAGCGCAGGCGGUGCGGCAAGUCUGAUGUGAAAACCCGGGGCCCAACCCCGGUACUGCAUUGGAAACUGCCGGACUGGAGUGUCGGAGGGGCAAGUGGAAUUCCUAGUGUAGCGGUGAAAUGCGUAGAUAUUAGGAGGAACACCAGUGGCGAAGGCGGCUUGCUGGACGAUGACUGACGCUGAGGCUCGAAAGCGUGGGGAGCAAACAGG
rnacentral:rRNA from 1 species